GACGAACGCUGGCGGCGUGCCUAAUACAUGCAAGUCGUGCGGACCUUGUUGAAAGCUUGCUUUUAAAAGGUUAGCGGCGGACGGGUGAGUAACACGUGGGCAACCUGCCUGUAAGACUGGGAUAACGCCGGGAAACCGGGGCUAAUACCAGAUCGUUUUUUCCUCCGCAUGGAGGAAAAAGGAAAGGCGGCUUCGGCUGCCACUUACAGUUGGGCCCGCGGCGCAUUAGCUAGUUGGCGGGGUAAUGGCCCACCAAGGCAACGAUGCGUAGCCGACCUGAGAGGGUGAUCGGCCACAUUGGGACUGAGACACGGCCCAAACUCCUACGGGAGGCAGCAGUAGGGAAUCUUCCGCAAUGGACGAAAGUCUGACGGAGCAACGCCGCGUGAGUGAAGAAGGCCUUCGGGUCGUAAAACUCUGUUGCCGGGGAAGAACAAGUGCCGUUCGAACAGGGCGGCGCCUUGACGGUACCCGGCCAGAAAGCCACGGCUAACUACGUG
rnacentral:rRNA from 1 species